rnacentral:rRNA from 1 species
CCUACGGGCGGCAGCAGUGGGGAAUAUUGCACAAUGGGCGCAAGCCUGAUGCAGCCAUGCCGCGUGUGUGAAGAAGGCCUUCGGGUUGUAAAGCACUUUCAGCGGGGAGGAAGGCGGUGAGGCUAAUAACCUCAUCGAUUGACGUUACCCGCAGAAGAAGCACCGGCUAACUCCGUGCCAGCAGCCGCGGUAAUACGGAGGGUGCAAGCGUUAAUCGGAAUUACUGGGCGUAAAGCGCACGCAGGCGGUCUGUCAAGUCGGAUGUGAAAUCCCCGGGCUCAACCUGGGAACUGCAUUCGAAACUGGCAGGCUAGAGUCUUGUAGAGGGGGGUAGAAUUCCAGGUGUAGCGGUGAAAUGCGUAGAGAUCUGGAGGAAUACCGGUGGCGAAGGCGGCCCCCUGGACAAAGACUGACGCUCAGGUGCGAAAGCGUGGGGAGCAAACAGGAUUAGAUACCCUUGUAGUC